UACGUAGGGUGCAAGCGUUAAUCGGAAUUACUGGGCGUAAAGCGUGCGUAGGCGGCUAUGUAAGACAGAUGUGAAAUCCCUGGGCUUAACCUAGGAACUACAUUUGUGACUGCAUUGCUAGAGUGUGGUAGAGGGAGAUGGAAUUCCGCAUGUAGCAGUGAAAUGCGUAGAUAUGCGGAGGAACACCAAUGGCGAAGGCAAUCUCCUGGACCUGCACUGACGCUCAUGCACGAAAGCGUGGGGAGCAAACAGG
rnacentral:rRNA from 1 species